rnacentral:rRNA from 1 species
CCUGGGAACUGCGUUNUGAACUGGGUGACUAGAGUGUGUCAGAGGGAGGUAGAAUUCCACGUGUAGCAGUGAAAUGCGUAGAGAUGUGGAGGAAUACCGAUGGCGAAGGCAGCCUCCUGGGAUAACACUGACGUUCAUGCCCGAAAGCGUGGGUAGCAAACAGGAUUAGAUACCCUGGUAGUCCACGCCCUAAACGAUGUCGAUUAGCUGUUGGGCAGCAUGACUGCUUAGUAGCGAAGCUAACGCGUGAAAUCGACCGCCUGGGGAGUAGGGUCGCAAGAUUAAAACUCAAAGGAAUUGACGGGGACCCGCACAAGCGGUGGAUGAUGUGGAUUAAUUCGAUGCAACGCGAAGAACCUUACCUGGUCUUGACAUGUACGGAACCCUCCAGAGACGGAGGAGUGCCUUCGGGAGCCGUAACACAGGUGCUGCAUGGCUGUCGUCAGCUCGUGUCGUGAGAUGUUGGGUUAAGUCCCGCAACGAGCGCAACCCUUGUCAUUAGUUGCCGUCAUUAAGUUGGGCACUCUAAUGAGACUGCCGGUGACAAGCCGGAGGAAGGUGGGGAUGACGUCAAGUCCUCAUGGCCCUUAUGACCAGGGCUUCACACGUCAUACAAUGGUCGGUACAGAGGGUAGCCAAGCCGCGAGGCGGAGCCAAUCUCACAAAACCGAUCGUAGUCCGGAUUGCACUCUGCAACUCGAGUGCAUGAAGUCGGAAUCGCUAGUAAUCGCAGGUCAGCAUACUGCGGUGAAUACGUUCCCGGGUCUUGUACACACCGCCCGUCACACCAUGGGAGUGGGGGAUACCAGAAGUNG